GCGGGAAUAGCUCAGUUGGUAGAGCGUCAGCCUUCCAAGCUGAGGGUCGCGGGUUCGAGUCCCGUUUCCCGCUCCA
rnacentral:tRNA from 4 species